GACGAACGCUGGCGGCGUGCUUAACACAUGCAAGUCGAACGGAAAGGCCCUGCUUGCAGGGUACUCGAGUGGCGAACGGGUGAGUAACACGUGGGUGAUCUGCCCUGCACUUCGGGAUAAGCCUGGGAAACUGGGUCUAAUACCGGAUAGGAGCCAUUUUUAGUGUGAUGGUUGGAAAAUUUUUUCGGUGUAGGAUGAGCUCGCGGCCUAUCAGCUUGUUGGUGGGGUAAUGGCCUACCAAGGCGGCGACGGGUAGCCGGCCUGAGAGGGUGGACGGCCACAUUGGGACUGAGAUACGGCCCAGACGCCUACGGGAGGCAGCAGUGGGGAAUAUUGCACAAUGGGCGCAAGCCUGAUGCGGCGACGCCGCGUGGGGGAUGACGGCCUUCGGGUUGUAAACUCCUUUCGCUAGGGACGAAGCUUUUUGUGACGGUACCUAGAUAAGAAGCACCGGCUAACUACGUG
rnacentral:rRNA from 1 species